rnacentral:lncRNA from 1 species
GGGAGAACCAAUUUUAUUCUGAAGUUUUUUGGGAGGAUGAAAAUUACCAACAAGAAUUUCCCUCGUUCUAAGAUCUGCAUUUUCCCCAUAUUUUAACAUUUAAUAUCUAAUUUUAACAUUUUAACAUCUAAUGAGAUCAUGUUUUUUGCUUCUCAAAAAAAGAAAAAAGGAUACGUAAGGAUUUAUAUAUCCUUAAAUCCAUGGUGCCUGUUGCAGUGACAUCACCUUAAGACUAAGCAAAUAAACCAGUCACACAAAUCGCUUUAAAUGGAAAUGCAAGUCAUUAAAAAAGAUUGUUUUUAAUGAUAAAACUUGCCAGGAGGCACUAAAAAGAAGGUGAAAGGCAUGUGAACUUUUAAGAAAAUGAAUGAGAGGUCAAAAAAAAAUGUUUUUCCUACGUUGGGCCACUGUAUGUCAUGCCCUGGCCUGCGUCCCUUCCCUCUCCCUUGCCCUUGGCCAUGCUGCGGGGAAGAAGUCCGAGGAUGGCUGCCGGACACUGCCACCUGGGACUCACCUGCCCAGAGGGAGACUGCCUGGGAAAAAAAUUAAUGGCCGGGUGCAGUGGCUCACUCCUGUAAUCCCAGCACUUUGGGAGGCCGAGGCAGAUGGAUCACCUGAGGUCAGGAGUUCGAGACCAGCCUGGCCAACAUGGUGAAACCCGUCUCUACUAAAAAUACAAAAAUUAGCCAGGCGUGGUGGUGGGCACCUGUAAUCCCGCUACUCAGGAGGCUGAGACAGGAGAAUCACUUGAACCUGGGAGGCGGAGGUUGCAGUGCCGAGAUUACGCCACUGCACUCCAGCCUGGGCGACAAGAGCAAAAUUCCUUCUCGGAAAAAUAAUAAUAAUAAUAAAUUAAAGAUUGGCAAGGCAGGGGUGUCCCACGUGACACAGGAGCCUCAUGGCCCUUUGGUGACACACCUGUGUCCACAAUGCCUGUGGGGUGAGCACAAGUGAAGACCGCCAGGCUGCUGGGGGCAAAUGGAGUGCCGCAGCCAUGCCUGGCCUUCCCCUUCCACCUCCACUCCCCUCUGGGCCAAUCUUGGGUGAGGACAGAGCUUCAGGGACCACACAGGUCAUCAGCCAAAAAUGAGUCCAGUUUGUCAAGGAGUUACCUCACCCAGCCAGACCCGCUUCAAACUUUUGCGGGAAGGACAUGGCUAGGAGGAGAGCUGGAAUCCCACUGGAAUAAUCCUGGCUGGUAUAAGCCUGAGACCCUCCGUCCAUGUCUUUGGAGAAGGAAGCAUCUGGGCUGGUGCAAGCUCUCCUGUCACCCUUGGGGACAAAGGGUCGUGGCAGCUGUGGGCCCAGCCCGGAGUGGGUAGGCAAGGCUGGCUCUCAUGCCCUCUGGCUUUGCCAGGUCCUGAAGCCCACUGACCCUGACCCUGGACCUCCUAAUGACCUCCUAACCCCACCCCUAAAAUUUCUACAAUAAACCUGUUUAUUUUUACAAUCUCUCACCAUCUUCCUGAGCCUAGGUUCGGCCUGCCUCAGCUAUCCCAGCCCACAUCCUGCCUGGGACUCAGAGGCAAACCUCACAAUUUCGAGACCAUCUGACAUUCCUUCAGCAUCUAAUAUUUUUCAACCUGGGACCAUUUACCCAACAUCCCUCUAGACCGGACUUCUCAGCCUCUUCCUGUGCCUCAGCUCACAUGAAGGAUGGCAUUUGCAGGCAGCUGCACACCUCGGGCCACCUUUAAGCCAAAUCCCUGGCUUCUAAUUCCGCCCCUCUUUCUCCCACUUCGUGCUGCCUCCGAAUCGCAGAUGUCCGUCUAUUAUUGCACUUUGCAUCGUGUACCUCGGUUACUUAUUUAGGUGCCAGUCUCCCUUGGGGGCAAGUCCUGGGUUUUAUAGAGGAUUUUUUUUUUUAAUCUCCGUGGCCCCAGUGACCAGCCCAGCAUCUAACACACUGCUCACAGGAAUCCUGUGUCCCUGAACCCUUCUCCCGGGCCAAGAUCAGACCUGUUUGAGGAAGAUGGAAAAAGUGCUCUGUGAGCAGGAUUAUGAAAUGACAGGGAUGACGUGAGGGGCUUUCGAAACCCUGGGAAGGAAGAUGCCCACGUGAAUGACAGCCCCUUGCUAUUCUCGGCCACCCGAGGUUCAGGUUUUAACUCAGGACAGCUGCCCGGAGCCUGCAGUCAGCCGGGGACAGAGCCUCCCGCCAGCGCAGCAGACCUCUGCUGCCCCCUCGUGGUCCCGGGACCUCAGCCGAGUGGGGUCUCCAAAGGCUCCAGCUUCUCGUCUCUGGGAAACUUCUCAGCCGCAAGCCUGAAGACAGAGAUUUCCACCUCACAGCUGCCUGGGGAAUGCCUCUUUGCAACAGGGAACCAAGAGGAGCUAAGAGCAGGGCCUUAGGGGGUUUUCCAUUCACAGCUUUGCAGUUUAACUCACAGUGUGACUUUCAGUGACCUCCUUCACCAUUCCAAGCCUCAGUUUUCUCAUCUGUAAAACAGAGAUUUUAAUAUGAAUCCUCCCUCAUGGGUUUUGUACAGAUCAAGGGAGAUAAUAAAUGAAAAUUGCUUAACACAUAGUAAAGACCUGGCACAUACAAGGACCCAGAGGGGUAGCUAUUGCUAUUAUUAUAAUGAGGAGAAUCUGGGUGACCCUCUCGUCCACCCUUCUAUUCCCAGGACCUGGGGACUGCUCCUAAGUAUCUGCUGAAUGAGUGAAUGUAUUACAGGUGCUUUUGACUUUCUUCUUUCUACUUUCCAUUCACGUGGGCAUCUUCCUUCCCAGGGUUUCGAAAGCCCCUCACGUCCUCCCUGUCAUUUCAUAAUCCUGCUCACAGAGCACUUUUUCCAUCUUCCUCAAACAGUCCAAUCUUGGCCCGGGAGAAGGGUUCAGGGACACAGGCUUCCUGACAGGGGAGAUACCAUGAUCACAAAGGUGGUUUUCCCAGUGCGAGGCUCACCAUUGCACCCCGGAGGUGCAGACCCCUGUGUUUUCCCCAAAUGAGAAAAAUAAGAAAAGAAAGAAAGAAAGUUUCGUCUUCCAUUGGAUCGACUCCAUUCUCCUCCUCCAGGUGGUGAUGGCAACGAGCAACAGGAACACACUCCUUCCCCAAACACCUCACCCUCCACCUUCUCAAAUUGGCCCAAGUUUGGGCGGAAAUGUUAGGCCACCCCAGGCGCAAAGCCCUGGCACUGGGCCGGUUUCCUGGAGUAGGUGGAUCUGGGUUGGUGGGGGCUGUGGCAGUUCCAUUCUGCUUCCCUGGGCCAGGCUUGGAGCAUUGCGCUUGUCACAGGCUUUGGUCUUGCGGGUAUUGAGGCCACCAUGGGCCUCAUAAUUAUUUCCUUUGAGUGCAGAUUAUUUGCCAGCGCAGAGAGGUGGUGGCAGACCUAGCGUGGGGUGGGGGAGAUGGACUGAUGCAGACAGGGUCUCGUGGAGAACGCCGGCUCCUGUCACUCACAGGGGAGUGGAGUCAAUUCAGAGGAGGAUACAUUUUUUGCACCCUCCCACUUUCCCAUAUUUUCCCUUUUAUUUACCCAUUUCCUCAUUUAAAGUUUUAAAAUGUAUUAUGAUUAUAAAAACAAACAUGUUUAUGGUAGAAAUUUUGGAAUAUACAGGAAAGUAAAAAGAAGAAAGUCAAAAGCAUCUGUAAUACAUGCACUCAUUCAAGAGAUACUUAAAGCAGCAGGGAAUAGAAUGGCGAACGAGAGACCCCAUCUCAACCCUCCCAGAAAUCAUGCUUAGGUAGGGGAUCCCAUUACCCUGAGACAACCACUUACAAUAGUUUCAUAUGCUUCCUUUAAGUUUUUUUCCAUAAAUAUAUCUAACCUAUAUUUAGUUAUUUCAAAGCACACUGAGCUCAUACCUAUCUGCACCGAUAUAUGCUAUUUAUCAAAAAUAUUCUAUCACAUGUAUUGUUGUAAUGGCUGAGUGUUCCAACACAGAAAUGUAAAAUAAUCCAUUUAACACAUCUCGGGCUUUCAGUUAUUAGCUUGCUUGCUUGUUUCCCAUCCUUUUGUGAUUCUAAAUUACAAUGUAAUUAAAACAUUUUAGGUAAUGUAUCUGAUCUGCUAUGACUAUUUUCUCUGGAAAACAAAUUAUUAGAUCAAAUGGAAUAAAUAUGAGAAGCAACACAAAAAAAACCACUGAAUACUAAUUAUAAAGUAAUACAAGCAUUUUGAAAAAUAUUUAACAAAAUACAGAAAAGUACAAAGAACAAAAUAAUGCUCACCUAUAAGUCCACUACCUCCAGGUAACUACUAUUAAUAUUCUUGAUACAUCGUUUUCCAGAUUUUUAUCUGCAUAUAAGGGUACUAAAAUACAGUCUGGGCCCGGCGCGAUGGCUUACGCCUAUAAUGCCAUCACUUUGGGAGGCCGAGGCAGGUGGAUCACCUCAGGUCAGGAUACCAGCCUGGCCAACAUGGUGAAACCCUGUCUCUACUGAAAAUACAAAAAAAAAUUAGCUGUAAUCCCAGCUACU